GUCUGUACAGUGUGUGUCUGAAUAUUUUGUACUAGAUUCUUGAUUGACUGAUAUCAAUACUUUGGAGAAUGAAGUUCUUACUCUGCCCUUUCGGUUACUAGUCCCUAAUGCAAGCAAUUAUAUUCGGCUCCUAGUAUUUAUUAACUUUACAGGUUAUGUUUUUUACUGGGAUAUAUUUUUCUUUAUUUAGCAGCCUUUAUUAAGUAUAUGGUCUAGCAGAGUUCUCACACAGAGAGCCAAUCUAAUAAAGUUACCAUUUAAUAUUUGAACUCUGUCUGGAUACAGUUAUUUAGAGCUGCUAUAUAUGUGUAGCCUUAGGCGCACACCUUACUAGGUUGCUAUUAUUUGUUUUUGGUCUAUAUUACUUUAUGCCAAGAUCUCACUUGGUAUUGGACACUUACCUAGCUGCAG